AGCAACACAGGAAUCUAGACCAAUCUGUAUGCAGAUACAAUGCUUCAAGUUCAUUACUGUUAUUAGGAAAUGGAAAUACAGCCAGAGUAGAAAUAACAGUCUAUUUCUCUCUGCCUGUGUUGUAUUUUUGUCAAUGGGGCUUCUGAAGGACUACACGUGCAUUUACUAACCCAUUAGAAUGAGUGAUUUUAUAUCCUAAUGUAGAAUUAAAGGAAUUUAAGGAUCUGCCUAGGAAAUACACUUGUUUAAACCUAAAUUAAUGUCUCUAUUAGUUGUGUUGGCUAGGUCAGUGGUAUAUUACUGGAAAAGAAAAUGUCCCAGCCCUGUGCGUGCUUUCUAAAAUCUCAGUGUAUUUCUUUUCUGACAAGAUAGAGGGCUGAUUUUCUUCUCCUCUGUCCAAAAUAUAAAACACAGGGACAACAUAACUAUUCUUAAAUGCAAAACAUCACAUCAAAUCUUUAUCAAAAAAAUCUCAUUCCUAUUACGGCAUUCUCCAUUUUUCUGUGAGGCCUCUCCCAACUCUCACCUUUGAGGCCAGUCAUUUCUUUUCCUUAGGCCCAACCAGCAGUAUUUGCUGUGGUAUUUACCAGGGCCUCCCCUAGGUUGUGCGGGAUCCUGGGCAAGUAUUCUUUUGUGGGGCCUCUGUCCCUGUUAACAAUUUGAUUGAAACACGUGUUAAAAAAUGCAUGGGCCACUGAGAGGCAUUGAUUUAUCAGUGAAGAUUUAGAAUCAUGGGUAGAAGAGAUACUUAUGUACUUAUUUCUUCUCCCGUCAGUGCUUGUGAAGCACCUCCUUCUCUCCAGACACCACCUCUUCCCGUCCAAGUCUAGGAGCCAUCUCCUCAUUGUGUUUAUUGCCAAAAGCACCCGUCCUUGAUAAUUCUACACCCCUGCCCACCGUUGUCACCCAGGACACAUGACUCUUUGGAACCUGUUUGUAUCAAAACAAUACAGCUCAUCUUGCCUUUGAGGCUUCCCCGGUCCACGUACUGAGGGCGGGCUCUACUGUGGUACCUCCCUCAAGUGGUUCAGGAACACCGGCCUCCAGGGAUAAUCUCAAAGGCGUUACUGUGCUUUGUUGAUGAUAAUGACAAAUGCACCCCUUCCCAGAGAAUGCAGUGACACUCGGAUGAUUGCGGUCAUGUAGUCAAUGUAUUAGUUUCACGUCAUCAGGACAGGACAGAGCGCCUUCCAGCUGCAUCUUGAGCUCUUUAGAUGCUCAUCCCUGUGCCCUCUCUCAGGGUCGAUCACAGCUUUGCUGUCAUAACUCAGGGGCAGGGCGAGGUGAGAGGAGUGGGCCAUCAGUGUAGGAGGACCCACCCUUAUCCUGCGGGGGCUUCACACGCACCUGGAAAGGACAACUAGACAGGAUUCCUACUGGAUUUACUGCUCUUUCUAGAAAAAAUGCCAACCUAAAGGUUUGCAGACCGUCUUCUUGAGUUAUCCCAGAAACAAUCCAUCAGGUCUUCUGAGAUAACUGGGAACCUUGACAAAUAAAAAUAGUGUCCUGGAUGUCCCAGCCACUGUGCAUGUGUGUGUAUGUCAACAGUUGGAAGUGCCGAGCGGUUUUCAUAAUUUUCUGCACCCGUUUGUGAAGUGUACUUUGGUGCUGAUUUUAUUUUUCCUUUGUGAAAGGGGUGUUGAUGUAGAGUAGGCUGUGUGUGUUGGGGGGCAGGGAGUAUGUGGGAACACUCUGUACUUUUAGCUCAAUUUUACUGUGAACCUAAAACAGCUUAAAAAAAAAAAAACACAAACAAACCCAAACUGUUUAACAGGAAAGACAAACAAAAGGACUGGCUGGAAGAGUGUGAUGUCACCACGUUGACUGAGAGUGGGAGAGGGUGGUUUAAAAAGCCUCACACUGUUAUGGGGCAAUGGUCUGGAAAGCUCUCAGAGGAUAUGGGUGUAGUCACCCAUGUGGCGUGGAGACUACAGAAGAGUUGGGGUGACCCCCCUGCAUGCCAGGGUCUGGCCACCACCCCAGCUGCCCCUGGGUGCUGUGGACCAGAGGCAGCACUGUGGGUGGAACACAGAGCCAGUCCAUAGAUUCAUACACCUGUCCAAGAGUUGCCGUGGUCCUUCGGGAGCUCAGAGCCCUGAACUUGUCCGGAGUCUGACAUAAGUGAGAAUCUCCAAAAUCGUCAUGUCAGCACCAUUCUGACAACCUGGUGUCAUGCAAACCUUUGAGACCAAAAUGGCAGGACGCGGUCAUGGGUUUGUAACUUCAAAUAAAACCAGGACUGGGGUUCAGGGUGGGGGCAGGGGCACUGGAUGGAGAUCCCACCCGACCUGGGAGUGGGAUCAGGGUGGACACUCAGAGCAAAACAGAACACGACUCCAGACAAGUCCUCUCCGCUGGGACCACCCCUUUGCUGGGUGUGAUCUUUCAGGGUCUUUGCUGUUUGCCUUAGAUCCCUAGGGAAGCUUUAACUCAGGUAACAGAAAACCCCCACGUUUCAGUGGCUGGACCUGAUGGAAUCUGCUUUCUGGUAAAAAUCCAGCAGGGGCGUCCUGGCUGCCAGGCAAUGUCCAGGACCCAGGCGUCUCCCUUGGUGGAGCCUAAGGCUGUGGCUGCCUCUGCAUCUGGAUGGGGGUUGGGGGCAGGGCAAAGGGAUGGAGAUGGGCCUCUUAACACCCAGGAAGUUGAUGAGAACGAAGCCCCUUGCCCUCCUCCGUGUCCCAGAACCCUGGAGGGUGCUCUCUUGAAAGGAGUUCCAGUCGUGGCGCAGUGGUUAACGAAUCCGACUAGGAACCAUAAGGUUGCGGGUUCGGUCCCUGCCCUUGCUCAGUGGGUUAACGAUCCGGCGUUGCGGUGAGCUGUGGUGUAGGUUGCAGAUGCGGCUCGGAUCCCGCGUUGCUGUGGCU
rnacentral:lncRNA from 1 species